AGUGAACGCUGGCGGUAGGCCUAACACAUGCAAGUCGAACGGCAGCACAGUAAGAGCUUGCUCUUACGGGUGGCGAGUGGCGGACGGGUGAGGAAUACAUCGGAAUCUACUUUUUCGUGGGGGAUAACGUAGGGAAACUUACGCUAAUACCGCAUACGACCUACGGGUGAAAGCAGGGGAUCUUCGGACCUUGCGCGAUUGAAUGAGCCGAUGUCGGAUUAGCUAGUUGGCGGGGUAAAGGCCCACCAAGGCGACGAUCCGUAGCUGGUCUGAGGGGAUGAGCAGCCACACUGGAACUGAGACACGGUCCAGACUCCUACGGGAGGCAGGAGUGGGAAUAUUGGACAAUGGGCGCAAGCCUGAUCCAGCCAUACCGCGUGGGUGAAGAAGGCCUUCGGGUUGUAAAGCCCUUUUGUUGGGAAAGAAAAGCAGCAGGUUAAUACCCCGCUGUUCUGACGGUACCCAAAGAAUAGGCACCGGCUAACUUCGUG
rnacentral:rRNA from 1 species